AAAAAAAAAAGAGAAUCAAAGAGAAGGUGGGGAGGGAAAUGAGAAAGAGUUAGAGCUAAGUGUUGUAAAAAGAAAAUUAAAGUCCCUAGUUGGUUGAGUCAAAAGAAAAAGAGAGUUGUUCUUCGGGUGAGUGAUGUGAGUGAGUGUUAUUUUGGCUUUAAGAUGGGGAUGAAAAGGUUAGAACUUGUAAUCACUUAAGAAAAUGGUAGAAUGAUGAGAAUGAUGAGAAUGGAUCUAUGUAUGCAUGAAUUGCUUCUAGUCUUAGAUAAAUUUUGCAUAAUGAUCAAGCUCCUUGUUUUUGAGUGAUAACCACCUUGAAAUGAAAACAUUUGAA
rnacentral:lncRNA from 1 species